CCGAAUUGUCAACAAGAGUUGUUGCUGGUCCCUCAAACAGGGAGACAUGUGCACGCUCUGUUCACACAUCCACUCACACCCUGUGCACUCUCUGUGGUUCUACGGUCGGGGGGCCUGUCCUCCUGCUGUGGUUCUGCUUCUUUACACACACACCGUAACAAAGUCUCAUGGAAUGCAUGCCGCGUUUAACGCAAUACAAUA
rnacentral:misc_RNA from 1 species